CGGAGAGUUUGAUCCUGGCUCAGGAUGAACGCUGGCGGCGUGCCUAAUACAUGCAAGUCGAACGCUUUGUGGUUCAACUGAUUUGAAGAGCUUGCUCAGAUAUGACGAUGGACAUUGCAAAGAGUGGCGAACGGGUGAGUAACACGUGGGAAACCUACCUCUUAGCAGGGGAUAACAUUUGGAAACAGAUGCUAAUACCGUAUAACAAUAGCAACCGCAUGGUUGCUACUUAAAAGAUGGUUCUGCUAUCACUAAGAGAUGGUCCCGCGGUGCAUUAGUUAGUUGGUGAGGUAAUGGCUCACCAAGACGAUGAUGCAUAGCCGAGUUGAGAGACUGAUCGGCCACAAUGGGACUGAGACACGGCCCAUACUCCUACGGGAGGCAGCAGUAGGGAAUCUUCCACAAUGGGCGAAAGCCUGAUGGAGCAACGCCGCGUGUGUGAUGAAGGGUUUCGGCUCGUAAAACACUGUUGUAAGAGAAGAAUGACAUUGAGAGUAACUGUUCAAUGUGUGACGGUAUCUUACCAGAAAGGAACGGCUAAAUACGUGCCAGCAGCCGCGGUAAUACGUAUGUUCCAAGCGUUAUCCGGAUUUAUUGGGCGUAAAGCGAGCGCAGACGGUUAUUUAAGUCUGAAGUGAAAGCCCUCAGCUCAACUGAGGAAUUGCUUUGGAAACUGGAUGACUUGAGUGCAGUAGAGGAAAGUGGAACUCCAUGUGUAGCGGUGAAAUGCGUAGAUAUAUGGAAGAACACCAGUGGCGAAGGCGGCUUUCUGGACUGUAACUGACGUUGAGGCUCGAAAGCGUGGGUAGCAAACAGGAUUAGAUACCCUGGUAGUCCACACCGUAACGAUGAGUGC
rnacentral:rRNA from 1 species